AGACGGGGGGUGCUAGCGUUGUUCGGAAUUACUGGGCGUAAAGGGCGCGUAGGCGGCUCUGCGAGUCGGGCGUGGAAUCCCGGGGCUCAACCCCGGAACGGCGCUCGAUACUGCGGGGCUGGAGACCGGAAGAGGAGGGUGGAAUUCCCAGUGUAGAGGUGAAAUUCGUAGAUAUUGGGAGGAACACCGGUGGCGAAAGCGGCUCUCUGGUCCGGUUCUGACGCUGAGGCGCGAAAGCGUGGGGAGCAAACAGGAGUAGAAACCCUUGUAGUCC
rnacentral:rRNA from 1 species